rnacentral:rRNA from 4 species
AACAACUCACCUGCCGAAUGAAUUAGCCCUGAAAAUGGAUGGCGCUUAAGCGGGUGGCCGACACCAUGCCGUCUGAAUGAUAAAUUUCAGAUGAGUAGGAGGACGUGGUGAUCGUGACGAAGUAUGCGUGCGAACGCGUAUCGAACGAUCACUAGUGCAGAUCUUGGUGGUAGUAGCAAAUAUUCAAGCGAGAUCCUUGAAGGGCGAAGUGGGGAAGGGUUCCACGCUAACAUUGAUUGGGCGUGGGUGAGUCGUUCCUAAGCCGAGUGGCAAUUGCUAAGUAACGGCGAAAGGGAAGCGGGUUUACAUUCCCGCACACGGAUGUGGAGGCGGUGACGCUUUAUUGGGGCGAACACGCUGGCGAUGGCGCUGGGCAGAGUUGUCUUUUCUGUUUGACCGUUUGCGCAUGCGGUGUGGAGUCCGCUUGUCGGGAGAAACACGCAUGCGCGGGCAGAGCGCCGGGGCUUAUCCGGCGUCCAGCUCGCCAUCGACGGCCCUUGAAACUUUGCCUGCUGAUUUUAGAAUCCACGCCGUGGCGUACCGAUCACCGCAUCAGGUCCCCAAGGUGAACAGCCUCUGCUCAAUAUGAAAAAU